UUCCAGGACAGAUGCCAUGAAUUCUCUCUCUGGGCCAGGGGAUGCAAGCCUAUGGAAGACACGAGGACAGGAAAGAUGAUUAUGGUUGCUGUUGAAAAGGACUAUCCUCCAUUGUUUCUAGAAGCUGAUGCUUUUCACUCAUUACCCACAUGUGUUCUGCAGAGCACGAACUCACUGUCACAGAUUGGCAUGGCACUGGCAAUGGUACAAUCCUUUGAUAGCCUUUAUAAGGAGAAAGAAUAGAGCCUCCUCUUUUCACUUCUGUAGAUUUCUGGUUCUGAAAGAGCAACCUAAUGAUAAAGCUGUCCUGAUCCUACAGACUUCUGAAGAAAACUCUCUUGAUGUGUACCAGAAAAAGAGUAAAGCCCUAAUUCUGAUAAAUCAGUUAACGAAGAACUAUUAGAAACUCACAAAAAGUAUCACGCUAAGAACUAUUCUUCCUCACCUAGCCUGGAAGUGAAUUCUAAACAUUAUUCCCAUUGUGUAGGUGGGAAAUGAAGCCACACACAUUGACAUGGUUUUUGAAGGUCUUCUGCUGUAUAAAAAAGAUUUACAAAUGAAGAUUUCCAAGACUACACUUAAGUGUAGGGCUGAGACCUAGACACUGCGUCCUUCAGAAGAUAUGGAAGAAUGACCUGAUUUGAGGACCAGAUUUGGAAGCAGAUGGGAACUUCAAAUCCCCUUUCCAUUGCUUACCAACUUUAUAUCUUUGAGCCAGCCUGCAUAACUGGUGUGUUCAAAGAAGGAAGAAUAGAUAUCACAAACUUAGAAGUCUGUUUAAAGAUGAAAUUCAGUAUGGGGGAAAUUCUCUGGCGUAUUAUGAUAAGUCACCAAUAAAGUAUUACUUUCCUCCUUCA